rnacentral:lncRNA from 1 species
UAAUUUUUUCAUUCUUUUGUAGAGCUGAGCAUUACAACUGAGCAAUUUCACUCUUGUCUGUCACGAAGAAUAUUUUAAAUAUGCAUACUGAGAUGCCUGCGAUGGUGCCAUCAUGGAAAGUGGUGUAGAGAUCGUGUGAUUGGAGGCGGUUUUGCUCCUGGAAG